rnacentral:rRNA from 1 species
CCUACGGGAGGCAGCAGUGGGGAAUAUUGCACAAUGGGCGGAAGCCUGAUGCAGCGACGCCGCGUGAGGGAUGAAGGCCUUCGGGUUGUAAACCUCUUUCAGCAGGGACGAAGCGUGAGUGACGGUACCUGCAGAAGAAGCACCGGCUAACUACGUGCCAGCAGCCGCGGUAAUACGUAGGGUGCGAGCGUUGUCCGGAAUUACUGGGCGUAAAGAGUUCGUAGGCGGUUUGUCGCGUCGUUUGUGAAAACCCGGGGCUCAACUUCGGGCUUGCAGGCGAUACGGGCAGACUUGAGUGUUUCAGGGGAGACUGGAAUUCCUGGUGUAGCGGUGAAAUGCGCAGAUAUCAGGAGGAACACCGGUGGCGAAGGCGGGUCUCUGGGAAACAACUGACGCUGAGGAACGAAAGCGUGGGUAGCAAACAGGAUUAGAUACCCUGGUAGUCCACGCCGUAAACGGUGGGCGCUAGGUGUGGGUUCCUUCCACGGGAUCUGUGCCGUAGCUAACGCAUUAAGCGCCCCGCCUGGGGAGUACGGCCGCAAGGCUAAAACUCAAAGAUAUGCGNGNGAGACGCGACGACGACGACGACGAGGAG